UGCCAACCGCCGAUAAACCCCACCAAAGAAGAAGAAUAGCAGCUCGAGUCGAGAGCUCAACUCGGAACCGUCUUUCAGUGAAUAAUAACGUUCUACUCUUUGCUAUCAGAGCUAUCGUUUUCUUCGAGAAAAUACACAUUUGUAUGCUAUAGCUAUUAAUAUGCUUAGGCAUAUCUUUAGGCUUCAGAAAAGAGACUUCAGACGGACAGCUUUUUUGAGCGCUCUACGAAAAAGAAAAAUAUACCGGAUUCCGAACGUUCGAUUCAUUCUGUAGCGAAACAAUUGGCUUCAAUCUAUUGUUUGAUUCGGGGCGUGUUUUCAACCAAACGGAUACAGUUUAGUUUACGUCAGUUGUUUGGAACGUUGGUGAUCGUCAACUAUCACGACGGGAAAUCAAUCUGAUUAGCAACAGUUGCUGUUGAGCGAUUGCUGUCAUCUCUGAAACUAUUAGGCCUACGUGCAUUUCCCGACUAUUUUCUGAAGGCUUCAAUUCAUUGAUCAAAAACAUCAACCAGUGACGUAAAAAGUUGGUGGAAACAAGAUAAGAAACACGUCAUCAGACUAAAGGUCCAAAUAGGGGAUUUCAGAAGUCAGAGCACAUGGAAUCUACAAAAGCAGGUGACUACCUCAUGAAGCGGGUUGAGAGAAUGCCAGGAGUGUGCAACGCUGUCAUCAAGGCAAAGGGUGGCUACUUUGAAAAAUGGGGUGUAAUAGCCUACAUCAGCUCCUCCAGCCCUGAGUCAUGUCAUAGUGACUCAAACGACUGCUACAACUCCUCUUCCCUGCCACACAACUCCUCCCACAUCUGUCGCCAGGGCAAUGUGGUGGACACGCCCCUAACCACGGCAGGUCUCCCACUGGCCCAUACUACAGCAAAGACCAGUGCAAAAUGCAGCAUUACUAAAAUCAACGGCCUGGUGCUGCUGUGUAAGGUGUGUGGAGAUAUUGCAUCUGGAUUCCACUAUGGGGUCCAUGCCUGUGAGGGCUGCAAGGGUUUCUUCCGUCGGAGCAUCCAGCAGAACAUCCAGUAUAAGAAGUGCCUGAAGAACGAGAGCUGUGCCAUCAUGAGGAUCAACAGGAACCGCUGCCAGCAGUGUCGCUUCAAGAAGUGUCUGCUGGUCGGCAUGUCCAAGGACUCUGUGCGUUUCGGCCGCAUCCCAAAGCGUGAGAAGCAGCGCAUGCUGCUGGAGAUGCAGAGUGCCGUGAACAACAUGAUGAACAACAGCCAGCUACACAGCCAGCUCCACGGCAACACACCCCUCCCCCUGGCCAAUCAGCUUCAGGUGCCGGCCUGCCCUGGGGAGCCCCGCCCCCAAGAUGUUGACUCUGGUUUAGGCUCAUCCUCUUCCUCCACCUCUCCUGCCGCUUCCCCCGGGUCCAACCAAUCAGAGGAGCCCAAACAUCACCCAGAGUCUGCAGUCGCCAUGGAUACAAACCGAAGCCCUAUAUCGGCGUCUCCAAGUGGUUCAGACCGCGGGUCAGAGGAUGGGAUUGGCUCGGUGACCCGGGCCCACCAGGAGUCCUUCAUGUACAAUCAGAAGCAAGGUAGCCCCUCCACCCAGUCCCAGGCUGAUGCCCAGCCGACCUCCCCGGGGGAGGAGCAACGUGUCAGUGACACUGGAAAGAGGAUAGAGGAGAGGAACUGGAACCAGCAGGAGGCCUGGAACCAGAAGAACCAGAACCAGCAGAAUGACCUGGCCUCAUUCACAGCCACUCAGGCCCACGACCAGGCUCAGGAGAGACCCACCAACACUGGGCCUCAGGGCCCUGACAGGCACCAUUGCCAGGGGGAUGACACCACCACCCCUAGCCAUUGCCCCUACAGCAGAGGUACUCCCACCACCCCCACCCAGAAUCACUGUCUCUACAGUAGAGACAGACUGCCCAACAGCUCCCCUAGUGGCUAUUUCCCAGCCUACACCCACCAUGGAGGCAACAACAGCACUAGCCAGGCCACCUCCAACUCCCAUGGAGGAUUCACAGGACCACUGUGGAGCGGGGGCAACAGGAUGCAUCUGCUGUGUCCCAUGAACACAUCUCCCCAUGUGAAUCCCCAUAAGUCAGGCCAUGGGAUCUGGGAGGAGUUCAGCCACAGUUUCACCCCGGCCGUCAGGGAGGUGGUGGAGUUUGCCAAGCGGAUCCCAGGCUUCAGCGACCUCUCCCAACACGACCAGGUCAGCCUGCUCAAGGCUGGUACCUUUGAGGUGCUAGUGGUCCGUUUUGCGUCGCUGUUUGAUGUGAAAGACCGCACUGUGACAUUCCUGGGUGGUACCAAGUACAGCGUGGAGGCGUUACGAGCCAUGGGCGCCGGCGACUUCCUGACCUCCAUGAUGGACUUCAGCGAAAAUCUGAUGGGGCUCGGCCUUAACGAGGAGGAGAUGAGCCUGUUCACCACCGUUGUCCUCAUCUCUGCCGAUCGCUCAGGGAUUGAGAAUGUGAACUCUGUGGAGGCGCUUCAGGAUACUCUGAUACGGCACCUGAAGGGCCUCGUCACUAAGAACCACACCAACGAGUCGGCCAUAUUCACCAAGCUGCUCCUCAGACUGCCCGAACUGCGCUCCCUUAAUAACAUGCACUCUGAGCAGCUGCUGGCCUUCAAGAUCCAUCACUAGACCAGAACCAAGUUCUGAACCUGGGGAGUAUUCAUUAGGCACCAAAUGGAACAUUUACUGAGAUGGGGAGGUAACACAUGAACUUGCCCAAUAAUAAAUGCUUGUUUUUUUCCCCCGUUGCCAAACCUUUUGCUAUGGUGUGCCCUAAUGAAUAUGACCAUGGACAUUGGGUCUGAGGCCUGUGGUUGUGGACCACAAAGCCCAUUUCUCCACCCACCCUGACACACCUCGACCAUCUACACUAAUGAACUAUGAACCCUGCCUGACCUCCAAGAGAACCCUCAUCACGCCCCUCACUUCACGUGAUCAUUUCCCUUCACAAACAAGUUGAAGUAGUCAGCAAAUGUGUCAAGAUCAAAGGGGAGGGAGGGGAAAUACUUAAGACUUCAAAGUUAUCGUACUGUAAGGCUGAAAGGCUUCUGUUGUAAAAACCAUGAAUGCACACGUUCAGACACAAGCGGAAGAUAUUAUGUUUCUUUGUCUUGUUCCUGUGUCCAUGUUGUGUUGUGUAGGAAGUUUGCAACUGUACAACCCUUAGAGAAGAACCUUUUAUAUCUUUUAUUUUUGCAUAUUUUUGGUGCAAUAUGAUAUGUGAUUUGUUUAUUUACACUUUUCGUUUAGGUCUUACACAAUGGCUCUCCAACCCUGUUCCCGGAGAGCUACCACCUUGUAGGUCUUUGCUCCAACCCUGUUUCUGGAGAGCUACGAUCCUGUAGGUUUUUGCUCCAACCCUGUUCCUGCAGAGCUACGAUCCUGUAGGUUUUUGCUCCAACCCUGUUCCUGGAGAGCUACCACCCUGUAGGUUUUUGCUCCAACCCUCUUCCUGUAGAGCUACCACCCUGUAGGUCUUUGCUCCAACCCUGUUCCUGGAGAGCUACCACCCUGUAGGUCUUUGCUCCAACCCUCUUCCUGGAGAGCUACCACCCUGUAGGUCUUUGCUCCAACCCUCUUCCUGGAGAGCUACCACCCUGUAGGUCUUUGCUCCAACCCUGUUCCUGGAGAGCUACGAUCCUGUAGGUUUUUGCUCCAACCCUGUUCCUGGAGAGCUACGAUCCUGUAGGUUUUUGCUCCAACCCUGUUCCUGGAGAGCUACGAUCCUGUAGGUUUUUGCUCCAACCCUGUUCCUGGAGAGCUACCACCCUGUAGGUUUUUGCUCCAACCCUCUUCCCGGAGAGCUACCACCCUGUAGGUUUUUGCUCCAACCCUCUUCCUGGAGAGCUACCACCCUGUAGGUUUUUGCUCCAACCCUCUUCCUGGAGAGCUACCACCCUGUAGGUUUUUGCUCCAACCCUCUUCCUGGAGAGCUAGCACCCUGUAGGUUUUUGCUCCAACCCUCUUCCUGGAGAGUGACCACCCUGUAGGUUUUUGCUCUAACCCAACCCUAAUCAAGCACACUUGAUUCUAAUAAUUAGCUGGUUGAUAAGGUGAAUCAGGUUAAGUACAACUGUGGUUGGAGUGAAAACCUACAGGAAGGUAGCUUUCUAAGAACAGGGUUAGAGAGCUUUGUUCUACACCUUGGGUGUAUUUAAAAUAAACAUGUAUAUAUUUAUAAUUGUAGGCAGACUAAUCUAGAAGAAUGUUGUGCUUAUUGCCUGAAAUGACAGGGUGAUUCUAAAGGGGGUUAGGGCUCGUUAAUUAAACUCCAAACCAUCUAGUUGAAAGUAAACUGACAAUGAAUGAAUGACUACAGAGGUUUGUUUCCUCUCUAAACUAUAGGUGUUGAAUGACAUUAAGGGGGAUGUUGUAAAAGCAUAGAUGGACGUAUGUAAUCAGGGUAACCGCUGCUGCGUUACCUCUGUCUCGGUGUGGCCCGAUCUAGUCACCUGAGGAAGGGCUUUGAUUGAAUGUUUAUUUGUAUAGAGGAAUCUCUUAUUUCAAGCUUACAGUUUCAGCUGAUGGUGCUGUGUGUGUUACACGCAUAUAGGAGGUUUGUUGUAAAUUAUGUUCUUGUAAAUUAUCAUGUUCUUGUAAGGUUAUGAACUAACUGAAGUCCAUCAUUGACAAACACGGUCCAGUCACUUAAUUAUUAUAGUGUAUGGUAAUAGACCGCAUUUGUAUGAUAUGAGUGCAAAUGGAGAGGAAAUGAAAUGCAUUGAGGUUAUUCGAACUGACAAAGGUUAACGUUGGUAACCAAUAAAACCUAUCGACUCAACACAACUCUGCUUGAAGACAUUUUAGUUGUUAUUUCCAUGUCAAAAGGAUAAAAUUGUUAUUGUCAUUUUGGGGGGUGCACAUUUUUAGGUGACAGUUUCGGUAAAAAAAAAGAUCCAAUUAAACUGCGCUAUUUGAUUUUACAGAAACUACUUUGAGUGCUAAUUAUGCAUAUUUGUUAACUGUGUUUAAUUUGUUUCAUGAAAAUGUUUUUUGCACACAUUGAUAUCGUGUCUAAGCCCAUUUGGAAAUAAAUAAUCUAUACAAAAAAUA